rnacentral:lncRNA from 1 species
UUCAAUCUAGUUGCCAUGGUUCUCCUAGCAACAAAUGGCAGGCUUGAAUAGGUACUACGUCGCACACGACUUCGUCUUGAUACUUACCGAUAGAAAAGGCGAUGCGCACUUGUUGAGUGACCUUAAAUUGGCUUUCGUUGCUAAGCCCUUGUAGUUGAUAAGGUCGUGGAUGCUUGGUAGUGGUUAAGCAAAGCUUUUCCACCAUCGUCGUGCUGGCUACGUUCAAGCAACUUUCACCAUCAAUAAUAACUCUACAAAGCUUACCUUGUACAUGGCAGCGAGUAUGAAAGAGAUGUUCUCGUUGCUGCUCGCUCUUUGGAUUUGCCAAAGAGGGUUGUCCACGAUCAUGAAGAUCAUAAUCAGUUCUAGGGACACAUCGAGGAGCGCACCUAUGAGCAGGAGGCUGGUUAUCCACAUCGUCUUGAAUUUGAUCUCGAUAUUGAGGCUCUUGAUUCAACCGCACCUUAUUGAUAGUAGCAGUCAACGCUCGAAGUGCAGCAGCCUGUUCGUCAAACUGUUGUUGGAAUUUUUUAAAUAUGUCACUAUUAUUAUCACCUGUAGACAUUUUUUUUUUAAAACCUGCAAAACACUCAACACUCAAAAAUAAAAGUUAUCAAACCUCACCAUUAAUCACUCAAAAGAAAGAAAUCAAAUUCUCAAUGAGGUCGAAUUCAAUCUUGUGAGUUCUUUAUCAGAGUUUAUAUCAACCAAUUAGAGAGUGUGAACCAAACUACCAAAGAAUCCUAAUUUGCACUAGGAUGCCAAAAACUGACGAGACACCAAGUGAUUCGUGUUGCACCGAGGAAGGAGUUGUGCACACGUGUAAAUCCUACUAACACAAGAAACAAGAAAGUGUUAGAUAACGUAACAGAAGAAUAAAAAGCAAACAAAUGAAAACCUACAGCUAAGAAUCACUAAAAAUUGCUAAAACCAGAAAACCCGAAAAACUGCGGAGUAACUUGACAACUUCGUUAGAGGUGUUCCCGAUCUCCAAAAAUCACGAAAUUAAAUCUGGAGUGUCCUUAUAUAUUGAAUUUUUGAUCUGGAAAUUUUGGACACCAAAUUCAACCCGCUGAAUCUUUUUUUAAAAUUUUUAUUGAAUUUCGUCUUUUUUGAUUUUUUUGACUUUUUUGACUGAUUUUUUUGCGGGAAUAAUUUUUUUAUAUUUAAUAACAGUGCCAAAAACAUGUAUGUAAAAUUUAAGAUCAAUUGGACAACGUUUACCCACUCAAAUGAAUUUUUUUGAACAAAUUUUUGGGUAAAACUGCUGUUUAUGCUUUAAAAAAUAGAGAUCAGUUUAGAAAUCAACCAAGAACACCCAAAACGCCCAAAAUCUGAUACCAAAUGAUAGGGGUUGCGCGCGGACCAAGAUCGAGUUGCCAAGUCACGGGAAACUCCUACGAAAACCCUAAACAAUUAGAUCUGAAACGAAACAGAAAAUUAAAAGAUUAGAUUUUUGAAUUUUCAGAUCUGAAAUAAAAUCCCCAAAUCAGCAAAGAAUCAAAUUGAGAAUAGAAAUAAGUGUUAGGGUUCUUGAAACCCUCAAGGAGAUUGUGAUUCUGCCCAAUUGAACACCAAGAUAGUUUUCCCCAAAUUUCGACAAUCUAAUUUCACCCAAAAAGAGUAUGGAAAAACCCUAGAAAUUGGGGAUUUUUGGGCUGAUUCCUUAAGAUAGAAAAAGGCUGAAAACACAAUAAGAACAGAAAAUAAAUUAGAUAAAGAUUCGGCACAAGCAGAAAUAAAGAAAGAAUUGACAGUAAGAAAUUAAAAGAUAAGUCCUAAGAAGCCUUGAAAUCUCGAAGAUCUCACAACUCCCUUCAAACGGCUCUAAUCUCCCCUCCAAAGAAUAUCAAUGGCAAGAAGAAGGUUGAAGAUGGCUCCCACAAUCACAAGAUUGUUAAAACAACUUCUAAAGAAAACUCAAGAGAGAAAUCUUGGAGAAAACUCAAAGAAAAUUCUGCUCUCAACAAAUCUGAAAUUUUAAUAAUAAUGAUAAGUGUUUAACAAGGUGGACAGCCAUGCCUUUAAAUAGGCAUUAUAACUAGUCCUAAUCUAAUUAGAAAACUAAAAUAAAAAAAACUCCUAAUUAUUUUUAUAUGGAAAUUCGGUCAAAGGUCAUUUUAUCUGGGACUCUUGGACUGAAUAUUGACAUAAAAAUUUAAACUAAGUAAAUAAAUAAAUAAAUAAAUAAAUAAAAAUAAAACUUUACAACUUGGGCCACUUUGACAAUUUGGCCUGAUUUUCAACUAAGUAUGGAUGGAUUUCUUGAUUGGGCUGGGAAUUUGCUUAUUGGGCCUCGCCUUCAAGAAUUUGGGCUUUUGUGACUCGUAUCAUUCCCCCCUUCCUCAAAAAGAUUCGUCCUCGAAUCUGAAAAAUCAAAUGAACUCGACUUUCCUCUAUCGAACGAGACUAAUGGCAAUUGAGUCCACUGAAAAGAAUAGCCAUGAGAUAGUAAAUAGCAACGGAAACAAGCUUGUAAUCCAAUCAUAAGCAUAACAGAACAGGUAUAACGCAUGUGAAUGGACAGAUUCAGAUUACCAUGCAAACAAUCUAAUUUACUCACCACUGCCUCGUCAAAUAUUUGAAACAAAGAUGGACAUGUUUUAAGGCAUUCAGUCGUCUCACAUUGUUCCCACAAACCAUGAAUAAAUUGCGAGUAAUAAAUCAAAUGGUAAACAUAAUCGUCACAAGUAGGUAUUUGAAAAGAUUCACAUGGUUCACAGAGUUGCAUAAUCAUACCAUGCAUUAAUCGACGGUCUAUAGAUUCACUCACACAUGCAUUAUCAAAAACAAGAAUCUUUUUAUCAACCAUCAAAAUAGAUAGAUCAUCAAUAAAUAAAAUAGGACAGUCAAGCACGUUUCGAUCUAAGAGUUCAUCAACACGAUCUUUAUCACUAUCCGAGGAGUACAAAAGUGUUUCAAAGGUUUCAAGCAUCUUACCUCGAUAAGCAGAAGAAUAAGGGUCGAUUUUACCUUUUUCAUUUAAAACAAACCUUCGCUCAUCGAGGGCAUAGUGUAGUCGAAUCUUCGUUGUUGAGUUAACGUUUGUCAAAUGGAACUCAAACUUCAUGUACAACCACAUAAACUGUUUAAGGCACGAAUAUAAAUUGAAAACAAAUUUGGAAAAUUUCGUUACCUUAUUCUCCAAAAUAGAUUUGGACAAAUUCGAGGAUUUUACACAAGGUAAAUCAAGAGAAUAACAAAUCACGCUUCUUUUCAUAAUGACUUUAUCAACCACAAUCGAAGAGUAAUAAUUAAUCGGAUCAAAAUGAGGGGAUCUUUUAAGAACUAAGUCACCAAAAGUUUUAUUAAUAAUUUUCAAAUCUGCACUGGACUCGGUUUCUAAAAUUUCCUUACCUCGCUUACCUUCGGGAUCAUGUAGUGUGAUUUCAUCUUUGCCUAAGUUGAUCGUAUGAAAGCGUCUUUCAUUUGAGAGGUAUUGAAGUUGAAAGUUAUCUUUCGAUCUUUCGAGAACCUGAAACGUAGCAACACAAGAAAAAUUCAUAUCUUGGUUAGUGGAAACAUUCCUCACUACCCUUUCCACGUCUUUUUCUUUUGUUUCUUUUUUUAAUUCAUUUUCUCUUCUUUCUUCAAUUUCUUUUUCACUCUCAAUCUCUUUUUGCUCUUUUUCAUUCUCUUUUUCUUUUUCCUCACUUAUUUUAACAGAAUUUUUCAGUUUGAUUUGGUCCACAUGGACUUGUUCUGGAGUGAGCGGCACUAAGGUGAUUUUCCUUCCUUGAUACUUGAAAGAAUACCUAUUGGUACGACCAUCGUGAGUGACCUUUCAAUCUAGUUGCCAUGGUUCUCCUAGCAACAAAUGGCAGGCUUGAAUAGGUACUACGUCGCACACGACUUCGUCUUGAUACUUACCGAUAGAAAAGGCGAUGCACACUUGUUGAGUGACCUUAAAUUGGCUUUCGUUGCUAAGCCCUUGUAGUUGAUAAGGUCGUGGAUGCUUGGUAGUGGUUAAGCAAAGCUUUUCCACCAUCGUCGUGCUGGCUACAUUCAAGCAACUUUCACCAUCAAUAAUAACUCUACAAAGCUUACCUUGUACAUGGCAGCGAGUAUGAAAGAGAUGUUCUCG